rnacentral:rRNA from 1 species
UAACUUUCAACAACGGAUCUCUUGGUUCCGGCAUCGAUGAAGAACGCAGCGAAAUGCGAUACGUAAUGUGAAUUGCAAAUUCAGUGAAUCAUCGAGUCUUUGAACGCACAUUGCGCCCCCUGGUAUUCCGGGGGGCAUGCCUGUCCGAGCGUUAUU